GACGAAGGGGGCUAGCGUUGUUCGGAAUUACUGGGCGUAAAGCGCGCGCAGGCGGUCCUUUAAGUCGGGGGUGAAAGCCCAGAGCUCAACUCUGGAACUGCCUUCGAAACUAGAGGACUUGGGUACGGGAGAGGUGAGUGGAAUUCCGAGUGUAGAGGUGAAAUUCGUAGAUAUUCGGAAGAACACCAGUGGCGAAGGCGGCUCACUGGCCCGUUACCGACGCUCAGGCGCGACAGCGUGGGGAGCAAACAGG
rnacentral:rRNA from 1 species